GAUGAACGCUGGCGGCGUGCCUAACACAUGCAAGUCGAGCGAUUCUCUUCGGAGAAGAGCGGCGGACGGGUGAGUAACGCGUGGGUAACCUGCCCUGUACACACGGAUAACAUACCGAAAGGUAUGCUAAUACGAGAUAAUAUGCUUUUAUCGCAUGGUAGAAGUAUCAAAGCUUUUGCGGUACAGGAUGGACCCGCGUCUGAUUAGCUAGUUGGUAAGGUAACGGCUCACCAAGGCGACGACGGGUAGCCGGCCUGAGAGGGUGACCGGCCACACUGGAACUGAGACACGGUCCAGACUCCUACGGGAGGCAGCAGUGGGGAAGAUUGCACAAUGGGCGAAAGCCUGAUGCAGCAACGCCGCGUGAGGGAUGAAGGCCUUCGGGUUGUAAACCUCUUUUAGCAGGGAAGAAGCGAAAGUGACGGUACCUGCAGAAAGAGCACCGGCUAACUACGUGCCAGCCGCCGCAGUAA
rnacentral:rRNA from 1 species